rnacentral:misc_RNA from 1 species
GAAAAGUUUCGGAUGGACUUUGGAGCGGAAGGAAAGCUGUCUAUGAGGUGUAGCUUUAGAAAUGCAAGGUCACCUACUUCACAAUUCACAUAUUAACAAUGUUUGUUAGCAACAUGUGUCAUCUGUUGUUGAGCACGUUGCAAAUUGAAUUUUAAUUGCUUUAAUAUUUUGUCGCUGUCCGCCAAUGCUCUUGCCACCUUGCCUACCUUCAUUUAUCCAAGUAAGAAUUUGCGAAGAGCAUGUGGUUGCCUG